rnacentral:rRNA from 1 species
CCUACGGGAGGCAGCAGUGGGGAAUAUUGCACAAUGGGGGAAACCCUGAUGCAGCGACGCCGCGUGAGUGAAGAAGUAAUUCGUUAUGUAAAGCUCUAUCAGCAGGGAAGAAAAUGACGGUACCUGAGUAAGAAGCCCCGGCCAACUACGUGCCAGCAGCCGCGGUAAUACGUAGGGGGCAAGCGUGAUCCGGAUUUACUGGGUGUAACGGGAGCGUAGACGGGAGUGCAAGUCUGGAGUGAAAGGCGGGGGCUCAACCUCCGGACUGCUCUGGAAACUGUACGGCUGGAGUGCAGGAGAGGUAAGUGGAAUUCCUAGUGUAGCGGUGAAAUGCGUAGAUAUUAGGAGGAACACCGGUGGCGAAGGCGGCCUGCUGGACUGUGACUGACGUUGAGGCCCGAAGGCGUGGGGAGCAAACAGGAUUAGAUACCCGAGUAGUC